rnacentral:rRNA from 1 species
AUGCAGCCAACGGAGUCCGCCCAACGCCGGGCCUCGUCCACGGCCGCCACGACGCCCCGGCGGAGCGUGGGGUGCAUGGCCGGCCUCCUCCGCCUGCUCUCCCCGUACCAUCGCCACCGGAAGCGCCUCACCGCCAAGAACGCCACGCCCGAGGCCUCCCUACCGCCGCCGUCUCCGCCGCCCAUGAAGAAGCCGGAAGCGUCCAAGUCACCAACGCAGGCCCCAGGGAAGCCGCAGACGCCGGCAGCUGUCCGGCGGCGGCGUUCAUGCGAAGCACCUCGGAGCCCGACGAUCGCUCUGGAGUACCGCCGAGCCAGCUGUGACAGCCCCAGGCCGCCGCCGCCAGCCAUCGUCGCGCGCCUAAUGGGCCUGGAGGGGUCUGCGCCGGCUUCUCCCGCCACGACCCCGCGGCCACGACCGCUGCCGACCCGCCCUCCUCCUCCCCCGCCACCAGAGAUGGCCGCGGAGAAGCGGCGCAAGCUGCUGGGCGCACUGGAGAAAUGCGACGACGACCUCCAGACACUGCGGCGGAUCAUCGCGGCCGUACGGGCUGCCGAGCUGCGGUCGGCCGCUGCGUCCGAUGUCUCGCCGGCUCCGGCAGGGGAAGGCAAGGGCGCCAAGUGGAUGGACGGCUCGUCGCCGCGGGUCGGGGCGCAGUAUCCCAGCCCGGACUCGGUGCUGGACGCCAUCACCUCACCGAGAUUUCCAUGCAGGAAGCGGUCGUCUCCAUGCACACAUGUCGAUGCAGACAGCAAGCCCGAGAUUUCCCGUUGCGGUAACGACGCGCUCAUAGUACGAUCCAAGAUCGUGAAGCCCUCCCGAACACUUGUUUUCUCCGGGGACUACUGCAAGAUCAAGCAAUACUGCAACGAGCUGCACGCCAUGGCCAUGUACCACCACCCGGCGACGGUGGCGGCCGUCGAGGGGAUACCGCGGUGGACGCCGUCGGCAGCCGAGGCGAACGGCUGGCAGCAUCGGCGGCGGUGGGGCCUGCAGGGCGCAGAGCGGAGCCGGGCGAUGGUGGAGAGCAUGGGGGAGGUGUGGGGGCAGGGCGCCAGCGAGGAGCGGUGGGAGGCCGGCCUCGUCGGCGCCGCGCUGGAGCGCGCCAUCCUGCAGGAACUGGUCUUGGACGUCGUGACGGAGCUGCUCGGGCACUCCGAGCGGGAAGCGCAGGCGCCGUUCGGCCAGUUUGGCCGCGGGCACGACCACGGCGGUGCCAUGUGCCGGAAGAGGCUCUGUUUCUGA